rnacentral:rRNA from 1 species
UACAGAGGUCUCAAGCGUUGUUCGGAUUCAUUGGGCGUAAAGGGUGCGUAGGUGGCGUGGUUAGUCAGGUGUGAAAUCUCGGGGCUCAACCCCGAAACUGCACUUGAUACUGCCUUGCUAGAGUACUGGAGAGGAGAUUGGAAUUUACGGUGUAGCAGUGAAAUGCGUAGAUAUCGUAAAGAAGACCAGUGGCGAAGGCGAAUCUCUGGACAGUUACUGACACUGAGGCACGAAGGCCAGGGGAGCAAACGGG